CCCAGCCUGGCUCAGCCGCCCUCGGAGCCAGUGCCGCCGCCGCCAUGUCUUCCGGGGCCAGCGUGAGCGCCCUGCAGCGCCUGGUGGAGCAGCUCAAGCUGGAGGCCAGCGUGGAGAGGAUCAAGGUCUCUCAGGCUGCGGCAGAGCUUCAGCAGUACUGCAUGCAGAAUGCCUGUAAGGAUGCUCUGCUGGUUGGAGUUCCAGCCGGAAGCAACCCCUUCCGAGAGCCCAGAUCCUGCAUUUUACUUUGAAGACUUGAUCGAACCCAGGGCCUCACACAUGCCAGGCAAGCACUCUACCACUAAACCGCGACUCCAGCCUUCAUUAUUAUUUUUUAAGAGGAAAAGGACCUAGAUUUAGUCUUUUUGGGCUAACAUAUUUCAAAUGAUAUGUUCUACAUGAUGUUUAUACUGGAAGAAGUUUGUUGAGAAAUGCCUUCGAGCACAAAGUAAUGAAUGACUGACUCCAAGUCUCAAGAAAACACUUUUCUUUAGCCAAAUGACUGAGGUAUUUCAGACCUUUCCAGUGUCCUGAUCUUACAGCCAAAAUUCUACRGAAAUUAAUGAUUUUCUACUCAAAUAAGGAAACUGAGUGAAGAAAUAGAAUUGUUUUAARUAAUAAUGGCUUGGUUCUUCUGAAGAAGUGCUUUGUAUUAAGAUAAAAACCUUACCACCAAAUAUACCAAAAUACACCUCUUUAAUAAGUGAGUUACUGKUGUUGCUAUACCUAGAAUAUCAUGUAUGUUUUAUUAACUGGAUGUUUACAUUUUAGGAAGGAAAACACUUUUGUUUAUUAAAAAAAAAAUGGAGUAUUUGUAAUUUGUUGUUUCUAAGAUUUUUAUACUAUAAUAAAAUUUGUUCUAUCAUAAAUUUACAAUUACUAAAUGAAGACAAGAAAGUAUAAAAUUAUGGGGGAAGAAUAGACUUUACUAAUCGAAUGAUGCCUUGAUUUUUUUCUAAAUAAGAAGAUUGUUUUAUUUAACACAAGAGGUGUUGUUUAGAAAGAUUCAUGUUAUGAUAUAUAUUAGGUUGUCCCAUUUUAUGUAUGAAGCAGAUUUGAUCUCUUUUUAAGUUCCUUUACUUUAUAGUUGUGGUUGCACUUUUWAAAAGAUACUACAUUAUUUCAUGUCUUUAAAAAAAUGUUUAAAGUAGGACCUACAUACAGAACAUUGCAAAUGAUUGAAAACAAAGUAAUGAGAAAAUAUUAUGUCCUAAAAGAAUUCUUCAUGUCACAAGAGUUUGACUUUGAUGAUGUGCCUUUGAUUUAAUUUGGGAUACUUUUAGAAGGAUACUUAGUGUUUGUAAUAAUCUUUGAAGAUCUUGGAAAUAAAUUCUGUUUAAUUCA